rnacentral:rRNA from 1 species
GACGAACGCUGGCGGCGUGCUUAACACAUGCAAGCCGAACGGAAAGGCCCUGCUUUUGUGGGGUGCUCGAGUGGCGAACGGGUGAGUAACACGUGAGUAACCUGCCCUUGACUAUGGGAUAACUUCAGGAAACUGGGGCUAAUACCGGAUAGGAGCUCCUGCUGCAUGGUGGGGGUUGGAAAGUUUCGGCGGUUGGGGAUGGACUCGCGGCUUAUCAGCUUGUUGGUGGGGUAGUGGCUUACCAAGGCUUUGACGGGUAGCCGGCCUGAGAGGGUGACCGGCCACAUUGGGACUGAGAUACGGCCCAGACUCCUACGGGAGGCAGCAGUGGGGAAUAUUGCACAAUGGGCGGAAGCCUGAUGCAGCAACGCCGCGUGCGGGAUGACGGCCUUCGGGUUGUAAACCGCUUUCGCCUGUGACGAAGCGUGAGUGACGGUAAUGGGUAAAGAAGCACCGGCUAACUACGUG